UUUCGGUGGGCGCGCGCACGACGCUACGGCUCUCGCUAUCUCUGUCUGUCUUGCUCUCCCUCUUGCGACUCUCUGCUCUCGCUCCGUGUACACACGCUUGCCGCUCUACUGUUGCUGAUGCCUUUGUUGAUGAAGCUGAGGUCGUGCGCUGCCGUCGCCGCCGCCACAAACACUGCUGGAAAGCUUGGCGAGAUUCGAACCUGUUUUCUUCUCGUGCGGAGUCUGCGCCGCUGCCGCAGAUCCCCCCCCAGCACGAUCCGCUGUUCGUUUCCUCCCCAACCACGGGCGGUAAAGAACGCAUUCGCUCUCGCACACCCACUCGUAGCGAUGGUUCACGCUGAGCCCAUCCAAAAGCCCCCGAAGCGAAAUCAUGAACAUGAACAAGUCGAAAAAACCGUGUGUCUAAAACACGGAAGAGAUACAGAGAGAGCAAGAGAGAGAAAGAGAGAACAACUACAAGUAAAAUAAAAAAAACACGUAUACUCCUUCAGUCGAUCAACCUUUUUAAGAAAAGUGGUUCCAUGGGACGACCGCAACGAAAGGGGCACACGAAACCCGGUACGGAUCCAUCGUCACGCCAACCCUAUCUCCCCUCUCACACAUCACCCCUUUUGAGGUUCCCCUUAGCUUCCAAACCGAGUGCCCAACACGUCCUCGCAGCAUCAUGCUGCGUUCAUUAGGCUUGGUGUUCGAUCGGGGCUGUGUUUUGGGAACAACAGUUUUACCGACCCAAACUGUCACUGGCGCAUUUUCACCCCCCAGCAGGCAGCAGCUCUAUCGCGAGGAACCCAGACCAGAGCCCAGGUUCGAUCGAUGUGUGUUCUUGCGUGUUACCCCGUGCCGUGCACCAUAGAUUUCAAUACAUCUGGCCAUGGGUGUAGAUCGAUCGAGCCGGAAUGGAAGGUGCAGAGCAACCGGCCCGGGUGGAACCUGUUUUGCCACAGAUGCCCGGGGCGGUUUGUGUGCGCUGCACCAUCAUCUCGUUUUGCGAGGGUGUGAGCAUUUCUUAUUAGCGAUCGACCCCGUUCAACAAUGUCGAUACGAGCGUGUGCAAUAUGCUUCCCCUUCAUGCAUGGGGAGGUUACAUGGGUUACGACGCCUUUCCCACUGCUUGUGCAUGGAAACUCCUCAAUCAACCGAAGUCCUCCCCGUCGAACGCUACAUCAGCCGUCCCGUGAAAACGUCAAGCUUGAUCGGAUUGCCUUCCAUUUGACACCCGUGAGAUAGCUCCGCUGGCUCCGUUUUAUUGUCAACACCUAGGGGAAGCUGAGACCUAUUUGGCCGCUUUACAGCCCGAUCUAUUUCUCAGCUCUCCUACGAGCGGGCCGCGAUUCCAAAGCCCUGGCCCACGCGCGAAACGCCCGUCUAAGCCCGUCGUUAAUCUCCGUCCGUCAAAUCCCCAGCGGCUUUCGAGACGGCAGGUGUCCUACCCAGCCAGACGACGGAGACCGUGUCAGUUAAUGUCGACCCAUUCAAAAAGAAGAUCGCGAUCAUCCACGGGUGGACUGGACCCAGCGAGCGCGUCACUCACCGCGUCUCUAUUGCCUAAAUUAUCGUUGUUUUGCUGCCGCUGCGAAGACGAAGAACACGACGACGACGACGACGCGCCUUGACUGAAGUUGUCUGAAACGCGAUCAUUACGAGGCAAUCACUACCUACUUGACUUGAAUUACGAUGGUCAUUAAUCGCGCGAUACUGGCGUUUUGGAUGGCUUUGGUCGUGAAGAUGAAAGCCACAGCAUCUUCAGGUGAGCGGGUACGAUAAAGCUACGUUCAAAUGUAUCCAAUUCCACCAGAGCUUGGAGCUCGCGUGGAAAAUGCUUGCCACCCAGACUUGAAGGAGUUGAAGAUCAAGAACGGCAUCCAAAUUGCUCCAAACCGCAAAACAACUGCCACCAGAGAGACGCUAUUUCACGCACACUCAACGCGCACCACUUCUUCAUGUCGCCUUCGAUGCCUCCGCUCCUAGCGAGCGUUUGAGGCUCACUUGAGUAAAUAAUAAAACUUAAUAGUGAAAUAAACCCGCGAACAAAACGAGC